AGUGAACGCUGGCGGUAGGCCUAACACAUGCAAGUCGAACGGCAGCACAGUAAGAGCUUGCUCUUACGGGUGGCGAGUGGCGGACGGGUGAGGAAUACAUCGGAAUCUACUUUUUCGUGGGGGAUAGCGUAGGGAAACUUACGCUAAUACCGCAUACGACCUACGGGUGAAAGCAGGGGAUCUUCGGACCUUGCGCGAUUGAAUGAGCCGAUGUCGGAUUAGCUAGUUGGCGGGGUAAAGGCCCACCAAGGCGACGAUCCGUAGCUGGUCUGAGAGGAUGAUCAGCCACACUGGAACUGAGACACGGUCCAGACUCCUACGGGAGGCAGCAGUGGGGAAUAUUGGACAAUGGGCGCAAGCAUGAUCCAGCCAUACCGCGUGGGUGAAGAAGGCCUUCGGGUUGUAAAGCCCUUUUGUUGGGAAAGAAAAGCAGCAGGUUAAUACCCCGCUGUUCUGACGGUACCCAAAGAAUAAGCACCGGCUAACUUCGUG
rnacentral:rRNA from 1 species